UUUUAAAUGACCUUAUUCUUAUAUAUAUAGAUAGAUAGAUGAGAGAGAGAGCAAGAUUAGGACUAUUAGGCAACUUUGUUUCAAGUCCCACCCCACCACCCAUUCAUUUGAAGAUAUUGGAGAUUUGCCCAGCUAACUACAGUUGUUCCCACGUUUAUGAAAUGGCAACAAGAGCUAUCCCUACUUACUUAUAUGGUCAUGGUAAAGAUAAUGCAUAUGAAAUGAGAAUCAGAAGAACUGGCACAUAGUACCUAACUAAUCAGUAUAUGUCAGCCAUUGCCGUUAUUGUCAUCAGUAUUAUAAUGAGGAAAAUAAUUUGUUAACAUAACUUGGAAAGAGGAAAGAAUUUAAGUUUCAUGUAAAUAGCUAUUUAUUUCAUUUACUUAGCAAAUAAUUUCUGAGAACCUAAUAUGCUCCCAGCCCUAGCCCAAGUUAGAUGCUUGGGACACCUAACCUCACAGAGUUUACAAGCUAGCAGUUUUAGAUAAAACCAAGGACCUGCUCGAGAUUAAAAUUUCUGGUGCCAGCAUCAUUGUUACAAAUAUUAAUUUAUUAUUUUUAUUCUUCAUGUAUAUCAGUACUAUAUAUAUUUAAAUUAAGUUGAAAAAAAGUAAUUUAGGAAAAAAUGGGUGUUCACAAAUUUGCUGGUAGAUUUUGUUGAUUUUGAGGCUGUUAUGGGAUAUACAAGUGGACUGAAUUUAUAGGGAUUAAAUUUCAGGAAAGGAAAAGGUUAUGGAGUCGCCAAGCUAAUGUUAAUUGAAGCCAUGGAAAUUGAUGAAACGGGCUCAUCAAGAGUACAUGUGGAGUAUAUUCCACAUACAGCAUAGUCACACAAGCCUUUGGCGACCUUAGAAAGAGCAGUUUCAGACAAGCAGACAAAGCAAGCAGCGUGUUGAGGUGCAAAUGCCCAUGAGAGAGAAUAUAGACAAGACUUGGAAAUGGUUAGCUGUGAGAAGAGAUAAGAGUUACAAUACAGCUAAAAGUGAACUUGGAAUAAAGGGAGGAUUUAUGCACAUAAGCAUUUUUGUUUGAAAGGGAAAGGUAUUUUGACUUGUUUAAUCAGGAAAGAGGGAGAAGGCUGAACAUGAAAAAGAAAAUGUCAUUUCAAUUAGGGCUCUUAGAAUAUGCCCAUGUGCAAGAUUCAGAGUAUGCAUGAAGGCAUUGGUUUAUAGAGGAAAAGAUAUCAUCAGAAGGGAAGGAUAAAAGGAUUUGGGGUACAAGUUAGCAGGAACCUCCUAGUUCCUAUCUCACAGAUGCUAUGUUCUCUGCACAUCAACUAUUAAAAAGGAAGAGAGAAGAGUGGUGGUGGGGUUAGAGCAUGGGAAAGUAGAAAAAGUCUGAUGUAAAACCAUGAGGAAUAGAAGAAAGAUACUUGUCCACAAAAGCAGAUGAGUUGCUUGGCAUAGUAGAGAGCUCAGAUGAGCUUGUCAUGUCAAAUGCUCACCCUGUUCGCUUGGCAUGUAUCAUCUCUGAGCCUCAUCCAGAAGGACUUUGGCAAACCUCCCUUCUUUUCACCUUCCAAUAAAGGGUUAACUCCAGGUUAUUUUAUGUUGUAUUUCCAAAUUUUCUUGAACAAAGUAUAUCGAUUUUAAAUUCAGAUUAAUUGUUUUAAACAUGACUGAAUCAAACAUAAUACUGUAUGAUUAAAAUCUCAAUGAAUUUUUAGUUAACAUACCUUGAGUAUGUCUAAAAGGAUUUGUAACAUCCUUCCCUCCUAUAAAUGAAUGAUGAUGCAAGAUUGCCAAAUCUUUGCACUCAUACAUAUAGACAGAGCAAAGAAGGAAAACACAGUGGAGUGGAAACCCAAAUAAUUUUGCUCUAAGCCAGAUGCAUGUUACUAGGGGAAAAAAAAUUGUUUGUGGUCCUGAUUAACAAGGAUAACUGCUCAACUGACACUCUGCAUUUUCUCUCUCUCUCUCUUUCUCCCUCUUCCCUCCCUCUCUUGCAGUUGGACCCUUUUGUUUCCAAGAUACCUUCUAGUUUAACUCUGUGGCUCACUUGGGUGUCUCUGAUACUGUCUGAGGUUGCCUGGCAACAUGACCGAUAGAAUACUCACCAGUCUGUGUGGUAGCUGUAUUUUUUGGCUUGCAGCCUCAGUGGAUCACAAGCAGAAUGCUACAGAUGUAAAGAAAGAUCAUAUAUGGAAAUUUAACUCAAUGAAACAUUUCAUAUACAAAGUCAUAGAUGUGCCUUGCUUGUCUGACCACUUCAAGGUAUCCAACAGACCAGGUGUAUGAGGAGCUACAACACUACAUGUAACAGCUUCUUUUGCAACUAAGAGUAAUGAUAGCUAGAUAGAGAACAUUGGGCAGAGCUUCCAGGGAAUCUCUUUGAGGAGAAAUAAAUCAGCUGGUAGCAGGCCCUUUGUCAGUGCAUUUUUUAGUUUUUGCAUUCUUGCCUUUUAGAACACAAAUGUGAUGGGUGGGCUGCAAUAUUCAUCUUAAACUAUCGGAAAGCUCUUGAGGAUGAAGUCGUAUGGCUAAGAUGGUGGAACAGGACUACACAAGGAGAAGAGUUUCCUAAUGACCUAGGAGCUAUGAUUCCAGCCCUACAAUGCCAGUGACCAGGUUUCCUUUAUGCAGAUUUCUGGGGUUACUAAGCAAAGAGAUGAACUAAAUUUCAAGGAGCCACUCUGAGGAAAGACAGGACAUAUGAACCAUUUUACCUUUGACAGAAUGAAUAUGAGAGGAAUGGAUGAUCACCAUGAAAGUGGGUAAGAAGAAAACAACUGAAAUUGUAACAAAUAAUUAAGGGCCAGAAUGGGCCAACAGAACAGUAUAGACACUCUGAGUGGAUAUCCACUCUGAGUGGAUACUACACCAUCCACACACACACAAGGGGAUAUGCAUUCAUUCAAAAAAUGCCUUACAAAUAAAGACUGAGGCCAGGGAAUAAUUCACAGAGAGCUCUUUGGUAGCAAAAAGGCACAAAAUCCUUCCCAAUUCCCCAGAUCCUUCUCUAAUAUUAUACAAAUCAAAAGUUAGCCUUUAGGAUCAAAACCUUCAUACUCCAAGGUCCUGGGAAAGAUGCAUAGUUUCUGGAGUAGUAGAAGCAAAAUUCCAGGGCCCCUGCGGGAGGGACAGGUAACUUUGUUGCAUCCAGAACUCCACACUGACACAAAACAUAGAUCUGCUAACACUGGGGUAAGAGCAGGACACCCUCUCCAUAUAAAGAACCCCAAAGAUUCAAGGAGCUUGAGCACCAUGGGAGGAAUGGGCAGAAAUGCUGAAAGAGCCAUACACCUGAGGUCCAGGAAUACAGGCUGUGUCUAAGAUAAAGACUGAAGAAAAGGAACCAAGAACCCUCCUGUUUCCACCAGGAAUACUGCACUAACAAGCGGCAGCAUGUUAGCACUGGGGGAGAUGCAAGAGUGUAAUAAGAGGCCUCCUCCCUUAUGGGAGCAUGCAAGAAACACUGAAAGGGCUGCAGAAAAGCAUUGAGAAAAAUCCUCUGGCACCCCAGGUCCCACAUUAAGCAAGAAGUUUGUGGGGGAAAAAAUCAACAUAAAUCACCAGACUAACAAAGUAAAAGAGAACAGUCAUUUGAUAAUCUCAACAGAUGCAGAAGCAUUUGAUAAAAAUCCAAAACCUGUCUAUGAUUAAGAAUCCUAUCAAAAUCAGAAUAAAAAUAAUUUUUCUCAAUGUAAUAUAUGCUAUUUACAAAAUGACUACAGUAAACAUCAUUUGUAAUAGUAAAAUGAUGAGUGUUCCCUUUGAUUUGAGAAUAAGACCAAACUGUCCACUCAUCCCA